rnacentral:tRNA from 4 species
GCCCACGUCGUCUAGUCCGGUCCAGGAUAGGGGACUGUCACUCCCCUGACCCGGGUUCAAAUCCCGGCGUGGGCG